GGAGGUGUCGCAUAGUGGCCUAGUGCAGCGGGUUGCUAACCCGCGCCCCGCAAGGGGCUCGUGAGUUCGAAUCUCACCACCUCCG
rnacentral:tRNA from 2 species